UCACUUACCUGGACGGGGUCAAUGGGCGAUCAAGAAGGCCCAUAGCCUAGGUUGGUGACCUCCAUUGCACACUGGAGGGGUGCUCUCCUAUGGUCUCCCCAAGUGGGAGAGCCAACGUCAUAAUUUGUGUUAGUGGGGGCCUGCGUUCGCGCGGCCCCUUU
rfam:Prunus persica cultivar Lovell chromosome G5, whole genome shotgun sequence.